AAUAGUCUCUUAAUUGGAGGCUUGAAUGAACGGUCGGACAUGAAGAAAUCUGUCUUAAUAUAGGUGGGUGAAGUUGACUUUUGUGUGAAAAGGCAUUAAUAACUUAGGGGGACGAUAAGACCCUAUAAAACUUGAUGUUUAGGUCGCUGGGUUUUCGAUUUUGGGGUAAGGAAAGCCGGGCAACACUCAUUGUGCUGGGGCGGCAGGAAUAUAAAGAGUAACUGUUCUUAAAUAGGAAUAAUUAUAAUUAGAUUUUGACCCUGAAGUUUGGGUUAGAAGUGUAAGUUACUUUAGGGAUAACAGCGUUAUUUCUCUUGAGAGUCCAUAUCGACAGAGACAUUUGCGACCUCGAUGUUGAAUUAAAGCUUCCUCCGGGAGUAGGAAUUCGGGGGGUAGGUCUGUUCGACCUUUAAAGCUUUA
rnacentral:rRNA from 1 species